CCUACGGGUGGCAGCAGUGGGGAAUAUUGCACAAUGGGGGAAACCCUGAUGCAGCGACGCCGCGUGAGUGAAGAAGUAAUUCGUUAUGUAAAGCUCUAUCAGCAGGGAAGAAAAUGACGGUACCUGAGUAAGAAGCCCCGGCUAACUACGUGCCAGCAGCCGCGGUAAUACGUAGGGGGCAAGCGUUCUCCGGAUUUACUGGGUGGAAAGGGAGCGGAGACGGCAGUGCAAGUCUGGAGUGAAAGGCGGGGGCUCAACCCCCGGACUGCUCUGGAAACUGUACGGCUGGAGUGCAGGAGAGGUAAGUGGAAUUCCUAGUGUAGCGGUGAAAUGCGUAGAUAUUAGGAGGAACACCAGUGGCGAAGGCGGCUUACUGGACUGUAACUGACGUUGAGGCUCGAAAGCGUGGGGAGCAAACAGGAUUAGAUACCCCAGUAGUC
rnacentral:rRNA from 1 species